AUUGAACGCUGGCGGCCGGCCUAACACAUGCAAGUCGAGCGAGCGGCGGACUGGUGAGUAAUGUAUGGGGAUCUGCCUGAUGGCGGGGGAUACCUACUGGAAACGGUAGCUCAUACCGCAUACCAUCAGCUGUCCCCAUAUGGGAUUAGCUUGUAGGUGCGGUAACGGCUCACCUAGGCGACGAUCCCUAGCUGGUCUGAGAGGAUGAUCAGCCACACUGGUACUGCGACACGGACCAGACGCAUACGGUAGGCAGCAGUGGGGAAUAUUGCCAAAGGGGCGAAAGCCUGAUGCAGCCAUGCCGCGUGUAUGAAGAAGGCGUUCGGGUUGUAAAGUACUUUCAGUCGGGAGGCGUUACCGGCAGAAGAAGCACCGGCUAACUCCGUGCCAGCAGCCGCGGUAAUAC
rnacentral:rRNA from 1 species